CCUACGGGAGGCAGCAGUGAGGAAUAUUGGUCAAUGGACGAGAGUCUGAACCAGCCAAGUAGCGUGAAGGAUGACUGCCCUAUGGGUUGUAAACUUCUUUUAUAUGGGAAUAAAACGUUCCACGUGUGGGAUUUUGUAUGUACCAUAUGAAUAAGGAUCGGCUAACUCCGUGCCAGCAGCCGCGGUAAUACGGAGGAUCCGAGCGUUCUCCGGAUUUAUUGGGUUUAAAGGGUGCGUAGGUGGCUUGUUAAGUCAGUUGUGAAAGUUUGCGGCUCAACCGUAAAAUUGCAGUUGAAACUGGCAGUCUUGAGUACAGUAGAGGUGGGCGGAAUUCGUGGUGUAGCGGUGAAAUGCUUAGAUAUCACGAAGAACUCCGAUUGCGAAGGCAGUUCACUGGACUGCAACUGACACUGAGGCUCGAAAGUGUGGGUAUCAAACAGGAUUAGAUACCCCGGUAGUC
rnacentral:rRNA from 1 species